AAUGAACGCUGGCGGCAGGCCUAACACAUGCAAGUCGAACGGGUCCUUCGGGACUAGUGGCGGACGGGUGAGUAACGCGUGGGAACAUACCCAAAGGUACGGAAUAGCCUCGGGAAACUGAGAGUAAUACCGUAUGUGCCCUUCGGGGGAAAGAUUUAUCGCCUUGGAUUGGCCCGCGUUGGAUUAGGUAGUUGGUGGGGUAAUGGCCUACCAAGCCGACGAUCCAUAGCUGGUUUGAGAGGAUGAUCAGCCACACUGGGACUGAGACACGGCCCAGACUCCUACGGGAGGCAGCAGUGGGGAAUCUUAGACAAUGGGGGAAACCCUGAUCUAGCCAUGCCGCGUGAUCGAUGAAGGUCUUAGGGUUGUAAAGAUCUUUCAGAUGGGAAGAUAAUGACGGUACCAUCAGAAGAAGCCCCGGCUAACUCCGUG
rnacentral:rRNA from 1 species